CCUACGGGAGGCAGCAGUGGGGAAUAGUGCACAAUGGGGGAAACCCUGAUGCAGCGACGCCGCGUGAGUGAUGAAGUAUUUCGGGAUGUAAAGCUCUAUCAGCAGGGAAGAGAAUGACGGUACCUGACUAAGAAGCUCCGGCUAAAUACGUGCCAGCAGCCGCGGUAAUACGUAGGGAGCAAGCGUUCUCCGGAUUUACUGGGUGUACCGGGAGCGCAGACGGCAGGGCACGUCGGAGGUGAAAGUCCGGGGCUCAACCCCGGGACGGCCUUGGAAACGGUCCGGCUAGAGUGCAGGAGCGGUAAGCGGACUUCCUAUUGUAGCUGUGAACUGCGUCGCUCUUAGGCG
rnacentral:rRNA from 1 species